rnacentral:lncRNA from 1 species
CAUCCGUGCGCCCUCUGCCAGGAAGCUCGCGAGCUACGUCGUAGGCUUCCUCAUCCGGGGUUCACGGCCAAACCUGUGAUCCUGAUGCUUCCGCCUGGAGGGCAGACGAUGGGCCGUUGAGUUGAGCCUACAGAGUUAGAUCAUAAAAACCAGUGUAUAUAUAAGCCUUGCCUGAGGCUCCUAGCUAGACAGACCCUCAGAUGAUUUUUGUAUAAAGAGUUUUGACUUCAGAUUUAGACAAAGUUUUAAACAAACUGCAAUUGUUGUUUCAGUCUACUAAUAAAACAGCCGGGAAAAUUCGAAAUGGGAGGCAGGAGGCCUACACAGUGCAACAAUAUCUCAGCAAAGUUCAGAACAUGAGGUGUUUGAUAGGUGUACAACCCGAUAUCGCAUCUAUUCUCCGGGAGCUGAUAUGCCUUGCUUCAGUCGUUCUUUCUUCAUCUUCUUCUUGGAGACGGGCUUCUUUUUCUUCGGAGGCAAGGUUUUUUGGGCGUAAGUGUAGAGCACGUAAUUUCCAACAAGGAAUGCCAAGAGCAGCCCCCCAAUCACAAGUAAGACGAUCAAGCCUGGAUUGAACCCUUGUGCUGCACCAUCACGGGCUGCAUUCUUCUGUUAGAAGAAAAAUAUGAGUCGGAUGAAACCCGAUCAAAAGUAGGAUAAGGCAUAACAAAGAUUUCUAAUCCAAGGUAUGCUAAACAUGAACGAAUUAACUGGUUAUAUCAUAUGAAAAGCAGAUCUAGCUGUUUCGUUAUGAAAGAAUAUUCCAAGGCACUUGUGGGAAGAACUAUACUAUACAAGAAUCGUAGAAGAAUUAUACGCAUUAGGUCUACAUUGAUGAUAAACUUUGAACCAAUAAUAAUGAAAAUUUAUGCAGGUAAAUAAAUAGUCUUAAUGUGGAAUUUUACAGAAAUGUCCACUGCACAAGUUCUGCUUAAGAACAUAAACAGCUUCAAUAUCAGUCAAGAUUGUCAGCCUAAAGAGUCCAAUUCAAGCACAAAAAGGGGUUUCAAUCCAUCUUCUAAAAUGGGAAAUCCACAGCUAUGAUUGAAUUAUGAAAUACGAAAUGUGAAGUUGUAAGGGAUUGAACAUAUAUAGGGUCACGGGUCACCAUAAAGAUGUUACAUCCAUAAAAUUACCAAGCAACACAAAAGCCCACUCUUUCAUCUGAACUUUAGAAAUUAAGUUUGAUUUUUAUUUGUAUGUCAAUUAUACCAAACUUGAACCAGCUUUAAGCUAAUCAAACAAAAAAUGGGUUUUUAUCAGUUUGAAUUUUCUUAAUUACACAUUAUACUUUUUUUAUCAUUCAAUUCAGCUCAAGAAGAGCUUUAGAUCUUAUAUAGAGUGAAAACAAAAAACGGGGUAAAAUCAAUUAUUAUACUAUAAAAUACAUAAAAGGUCAGAUUUUAUUACUUAUGUUUUUCGAAUCAAGCAGAAACAAAAUCAUAAUGGUCAAUCUCAAAUCAGGCAUUAAAAAAAUAAUUACUGAAAUCUGCCUCACAAGACAUGGCAACAUUAUCGCCUAUACCAAAUAAUCAAUAACAAUUGGCUAAGAAAAAAUCAAUAACAAAAUUUGCUGAACAUUAACUUCAGAAUUAUCUUUUAAGAAAGACUUCACAAUCUACUUAAAAACGGCAUGCAGAAACAUAUAAUCAAAUAUCCAAAUUCCAAAGCAGCCUUCACUACAACGCAAUUCCUAUCAAAAUCCAGAAAAUAAAACAACACCGCCAAAACAAUGUAGUUCCAGCUGAUUACGAGCAAAAAAAAAAACUUACAAAAUGAAGUGCAAUGCAGGAAAAAUCGCACCAACAGCCACCAAAUCGGAGUCAAAACUUACAUAAAACCACAUAUCAACAGGGAAAUUUGAUAUAAAAACGUAACUGCAUCCAUUUCAUUUAUUUUUUUCAGAAAAAUCAUAGAUCUACCAAAAUCGAGUUAGAAUUCAAAAGAGGAAAGCACAAUACCACGCGAUCAAAUGACGGAGGAACAUCGAAAUCACCAUCUGCUUCCAUCGCCUUUAUUUAUUUUUAAUUUUUUUAGAGAGAAAAUUGGAAUUAUUGGAAGGUGGGUGAAGCCAGAGUCUUAAAUUUGAUUGACGAGUGUGCGUUGGUGCUCCGAAACGAAGUCAG